GAUUAGUGCCGUUAUAAAAGAGACAUCGGAGAGAUCCUUGGCUCCCUCUGCCAUGUGAAAACACAGCAAAGGAUGACUAUCAAGGUAUAAGAAAGCAAGCCUCUGCUAGCCCCUGGUUUCCUUCUCUUCGAGGAACACAUGAUUUUCUCUUCCUGAAGCAUGGGGCCAAUAUUAUAGCUUGCCCUCCAGGGCAGGAUAAUUUGCUCAUUGUGGAUUAGUUGCCUUCAGCAGAUGAAAAAUCCUGAAAACAAUGGAAACCAAUGAGUCAGAAUGAAGGUCAAUGCCGUUGUUUUCAAUAAGCCUCAGAAAUCAAGCAUGGAAAAGAGAUUGCUGGUGAUUAUAAACCUGAUGUAAAGAGGAACUACUGAUAAGUGUAAAAAGUUUUUUGGAAGAGUGUUUCACGCUAAGGUUCUCAGAAGCUUUGAAGCCUUUCAUAGCUUUUUCUGCUUCCCAAUAUAGUGUGAUCACUAGGUAACAUGUGGAGUGACUUUUCUCAAAUCGUAGAGAAAAUCUGUGUUCCAUUAAGGAGAGACAAGGCAGGUGAAUUCUCUUCAAAGUAGGCCAUCUAAAAAGGUUGGUCAAGUUUGAAUUGGCGGGGCCAAAAAUUCAUUCUAGCCCUGAGAUUCCAAAUUAAAGUUAAGAAAAAUUAAUAAUCUGUGGCAGAAGUUCUGCAAUUUAUAGCUACUCACACAAGAGCCUGCUGAAAUACAUUACCACCCUUUAAUAUUCUGGUGAGCCCAGCAAGAAAAAUAGAGUCAACACCCACCUUGCCACAAUGGUUUAAAUAAUGUACCAGUGAACUAACAGCACAUUUUUAAUCCUACCCUUGUCUCUUAACAUGCCAAUUUUCCUCGUGUCAGUUUACAUUUAUUCAGAAAGGCAAACUCACUUUGAAAUGCACCUAAGUAUAAAGAUAAUUGCCACUUGGCCUGAGAAAUUGAAAGCAUGCCAGCCUAAAAUGCUUUUAAAGACUUCAAUCAACUUUCUCUCCCCAAAUGAAGAACUAAAAGUCAGAGGACAGACUGUAGGCUGCAGACUCCGUUCUCAACAUCGCCCAGCAACAUGUAUUUAUAUUACCAGCAUUGGUCCUCCAAAUUUGACCUGGAGUUGGCCUUUGAAUUGGUACAGGGAAGGAAAAGGACAGGGGCUGUAGAGCCCAGGAAAGCUAGAAACAAACAGUCUUCUUAAAUUACCCAGAUUUGUAACCAAGCCUAAAAUAACACAGCCCUGCCAGACUUCAGCCCUAAGAUCUGAAGCUCACUCUGAGAAAUAAUAAAACAAUACUGUUGUCUUGGC